GAUUAAUCUAAUUUGAAAUGAGAUAACAAAGCAUCCCUUCUCUGUGCACGCAUGUGUGGGAGAAUUUUGAUCGACAUAUCAGGCAGAAGAGUCCUUCUGUUUGAAGACUAUUAAUUACCUAAUAUGUAGAUAAUAUAUCGCAUUUGAAAAGGGGCGUAGCCUUUCUUUUGGGUGUCCUUCUAAUACCUAUAAAUAAGUGUGCACACUGGGUGUUUGACGCAUUCUAGAACACUUUCCAAUUCUAUCUCCUUAGUCUCUCUUUUCUUUCUUACAUCCCUCUUAAUCUUAGGACAAGGCUUUGGUAUUUAAGAUAAAGCCUAAUCAGGUCUAGACA
rnacentral:lncRNA from 1 species